ACCGGCGACGGCCGACGGGUGAGGCCACCCCGCCAUGGCCAUCUCUCUCUCCCUCUCCAAACCAGGCGGCGGCAGUAAACCCUAGCCCGGUCAGCGUUCGUGGAGCGAGAUUCAGGCCGAAGAUGGUGGCUGCAGCUGCUGAACGACUGAUGGCCGCUUCCAUGCCCCUGGUGAGUUCCCUUGCUUCUUUGAUUUGGUUUAAUUUCGUUUUUGUUUUGAAGUCUUUGGCCCCUUUCUUUGUAGCCAAUGGAUUUUACUUAGAGGAGGACGCAUUUGGAUUGAGAUAUGUUUCACUGAAGCCAAUGGCUUCCGGCUUCCAGAAGUGGAUGAGUUUGGAUCAGAGGCUAGGUAUGGCACACGGAGGUUGUGUUACAGAUUAACCGCAUGUUUAUGUCCGUGUUGCGCUGCGCAGUAUGGUGUUGUCGACGGUCCUGGCAUGGUGCCGAGCACAGUUGGUGAGCAUGCGCAGCCUGUGUUCCUCACUUAACAACUGCACGACCUGGUGCCAAUGCCUUUUUCUCCUUAGGAAACACAACUUAGAUACUGUAAGUUGAUGCAGAUAAUUCAAAAAUCAAGUAAUGGAAUUUGCAAUCCAAUAACAAGCAUGUUGUAGAAAAUAAUCUCCUUCAUAAUAUCAUUAUUUUUAUUUCUUGGAAUUUGCACUUACAUAACACAACAAAACAGGGCAGGAAAUUGCGAGAUUACUUUUCUUGUUUGCAACUCUAGCAAUAAUAUGUUGCAAAAGGUGUAUUUGAUUUGUACAUUGCAACACAUAGAUGCUGCAAUGGACUUUUGGCUAUAGUGAGUGUUUGCUUCAAUCAACCAAUAGUAUUUACAAAAAAAAUUAGUUGAUUUGAAUCUCAAUAAACGUUGGAGAAAGUACUGCUCGGAUCUGUAGGCCUAUAUGUGAUAGGUCUGCCUGCCCUUUGUCUGUGAAGCACAGUCUAGAUAGUUUAAUGUGUUUUAAUCAAAUUCUCAUGGUUUCUGAAUAAAAAAAUAGCUUUGGGAUGAAUCUUAUGCACUUCAGAUUGGCGCUCCAGCUGAUUCGGCGCUUGUGGGGCCUGUUGUGGAUAGACCUAGGGUGCACAACAGGAAGUACAAGGGCGAAACAGGGAUGGACCGCAUUGGCCAUGCACUGGGUGGAUAGGACGUACUGUUUGACAAAUAGUAACAGAUUGUUUAAGUGUAACUUUUUGUUCUGAUUUGAUAUUAGACAAGUAUGAUAUGAAGGUGAGGUGUAGUUGGUUCUAGGUUUUGUCCAGCUUCAGGAAGAGAGAAAGCUGCUUAGUUUUUCAGUUCGUAUGUGGCUUUACAAAAUAGCUAUUGCACCGAGCACAUACAUUUGCAGCCCGUAAUAUUAUACGAUGUUAGCUUCAGUUCAUCACCUUUCAUUUCAUACUUCUUAUUUUUGUUACUACUCUGUGUAAGAAUAAACAAAUCCUAAUGGAUUUAGUGUGUUCCAUUCAUCACUUUACAGAUUUGCUGCUAACAGAUUCUUUAUGUUCCAUAAAAUGGGCAAUUGGCAGGGUUCAGUUUAGUUCCUAAGAGGAGAUGCAAAUCAAGUAGAUUAUGUACUGUGAUGUUUGCUUCUUUGCUAACUGCACAUGUGUUGUGGUAAGAUAUCAGCCGUAUGUAUGAGCAUUUCUGUAUUUGAGGAAUUCUCAUGCAAAUUUCUAGAUUUAAGGAAUUCUCGUGUAGAUUAUUAGUUUGCAUGAAGCAUACUAAACUCACUAUAAGCAAUAUAAAUUGUGCACCGAAGCAGAGCUUGUGACAGGGCAAAUGUGGUCCUUGAAAGCAGUAGCAGUGUAAGCAAGCGGAGAUAAAGGAGAGGCUCAAAAGAGUGCGUACAAUAGAUCUAUUUUUGAAAGUUAGUGUGGUACCAGAUUGUUCCAGGCUGACCGUGUAUCACCUCUAGAGUUGUCUUCUUACUCUACAAUAUGUUCGUAUAACUCCUAGCAUACUAGCACAACUAAUGAUCUCACCUUCCAAUGAAUGAUCUUAGCUGCAGAUAAAUUCAUCCUGCUACAAGUUUCUGUGUCAUUAGAUUUGAAGCUAUUUAGCUCAUAUUUUAACUUCCAUGUUGCAUGCUACUACAUAAUUACAUAAAUUCAUAUUAUUCUAUCGGUAAAAUGGACGGGCGCAGCAACGCGCACCAUCAUGGAAACAUGUUUCUGUGAGGAUGAGUUUUGAGUAAAGGGAAAAGUUUUCUUAAUAGCUAAUCACCAGCACAAUAUUAAUUGUUGGUUGUUCUAGAAUAUAUGAUCUACUGUGAUUAGGACAGGUAAAACACACACAAUUGCUUUUAUGAGGGAAGGAACGUGUGUUGUCACACUUUGGAAGUCCAUAUUCAUUUUGUUAGUGCUAGAAACUACAGUCCACAUCUUCAACUCAUAAGUGUCCAGUUUGGAUCAUACUUCCUCUGUUACAAAAAUAUAAGUCGUUUUAGUGAGCUAACAUAGCCUACUCAAAUAUCUUAUAUUUUGGUAAGGAGGUAGUACAUGAGAAGAAUCAUACUUGGUUAUAUGAUUGAUAAAAAUACUUUUUUCCUAUGAAUUACUCAUGCUCAUAUGUGAUAAAAAUCCUAAGUUUAUGGCUCAGGGUGGCCCUGUUGUGGACUGCCGAAUAGCUAUUUGGGCGUCAGCGGCAAAUUGAUCCAAUUCAUUGCCAGGCCAAUGGACCUUGCUGUGUGGACUCCACUUUUCUUUCCUUUGUAUUAUUUGCAAUACCUCAAUUCUUAGUAAUCCACUCAUGAUGCUGGUAGCAGAGUAAAUCUGGUUAUGUUUCCUCACUGUUGGUAGUUCCUCCACCUCCCCAACACGGCCAGCUCCUCCCCAGUUAUGUAUUCCAUUUCAUCGAGUGCUUCAGACACGUUGGCUACGAAUGGUUGGUCACAUAAUGAUGUGUGCGUCCUCUGCAUGUCCAGCACGGAAACUACUUGAAACAUGUUGCAUGUUUUCACCUUCACUCUUCAGCUCUGGUGCGAGCUCUUGGCCAUUGUGCGCCUGCCUCGAGUUUCCUGCCUGCCCAAAGACCUCACUGUCCCUCAACUGCUCCUCGAAACUCACAAGAUGGUGCCCAAGCUUGAGCAAAAAGGGUGUGAUGCGCUCUUACAGCUGACUUUGUGGUCAACAUGGAAUGAACUGAAAUGUGUUAAACCUUCAAGAUGAAAGCUUUCUCCGGCUCUACUUUCCAAAGUUUUCAUGCUUCAUAUGAUUUUUUUUAGAUGGCUUCAAAUGAAAUUCUGAUAUAGUGUGUUCUCACCGUGUUA